CUGAGGUAAUAUGCUUUCAAAUGCUUCUUAAACAGAAACAAACUUUGAGCUCGUCUUAUGGCCACAGGUAAGUCGUUCCAUAGCAAAACAGCUUGCACAGCAAAGGAGUUAUAUAAUUUGUUAAU